ACAGGAUUGCAGAGGUAAUAUAUCGUGGAUGAAGUUGGAACUUUAUUGUGCAGAAGUAAUACAAACACUUAAAAUUGACAUGGAAAGGGGUCAAAUAAAUUUAUGCAAAGUUCCCCAUAAAGACAUGACAGAUGGAAGAUAAUAUUUUGGUCUUCUCCCUUUGAUAACAAUCCUAAAAAAUAAUAACAAUUUAUUCAUUUCACUAUGAAAUUUAAAGAUUUGUACAGCAACAAUGCGAAGGUGUUCUGUUGCGCGAAGAGCCUUUCAAUGAGAGUGAACAAAAUGGGUCAUUUAGACUAAGAUUAAAACCAACUCCCUGUAGUGUAUGUGACGAUGUGCAUAAAGCAAUGCUAAUACGGAGACUGUAUUGCUGUAUAAUCAAGGCCCAUUCUCCGUCACCAAGUUAAGUUCAACGCUAAAAUAAUUUCAUCACAACCCAGAUUCACGUAAACGUUCUCCCGUUUCGUCUGCAUCGCAUGGGAGAUGUCCCCAAGUCUGCCGAAAGAGUUGAAUUUUUAUAUUGGCCUUAAUGCUGGCCGAUGUAGUCCUCGCAGAAAGAGUUAUCUUCGGCUGAGUGUAGGUAACCCAAGCCCGGCUGUUAAGAGCUCCGAGUGUCAACAUUGUGGGGAGAUAUGGACCUCCGCCUGGCCAGCGUCCAGAGCCGUGCGCCUCUGACUCCUCUGUGCUGACAGUGAUAAGGAGCCAUGGUUUGUAUAAUAACUUGUUUAAUGCGAAAAACAGGAGAGAUGCAAUACACGAUUAAUCAUUCACUAAUUUUGAGGAAAGGGCAAGUCUGGAAAAAAAGUGGGUUGGGAAAAAGUAUAGGCUUCUUAAUUGGUUCCUUUCUUCUCCUGGUUUUUCAACCCCAAAGUAACUUCGCACUGGACUCUCUGCGCCUCUGGCCGGGUCAGGGAAAGGUUCAGGUGCCAGAUUAGUUUCCACAUCACGGUCACGUCCAGCCAUAAAACCGUGACAGCUCCACAUCUGUAUUUGAAAGAAUAGAGAGAACACAUUUACAGAUAAACCAUGUAAAAAAACAACAACAAAAAACACUCGUGCGUCUGAAAACUUUUUUUCUAGCGCUGAUUGUUUAUUCUCUUCUUUUCUUCGGGGUUUUGAAGUGUUGAAGGUUAAUAAUAAGAGCUGCUCUUCUUCCGUUCUUGUCUUUAAAAGUUUACCGCUCAACUUGUAGUUUGAGGAGACAAAGGCUGGUGGGAGUGGGACGCUGUCUAUGUCCGCCCCCAAUGAUUAAUCGUCGUGGUGGGAUUUUCCACGCCCGCUGCUCGGUGAUGACGGAAAACCAGCGCCAAACGGGGCCGUAAUGAGAGAAUCUCUUCCGGGAUAGUAUUUUUGGCAAUUUAAAUACUCACCCCAUGUCAUGCUAUGUCGAUUGGAAUCGGUUUAGGCUUCUUGGUAAUAAACAGGAUCGUUUCUUAAUUUUAGCACCCCCCCCCCCUCCCCCGCACACACACACACACACACACACACACACACACACACACACACACACACACACACACACACACACACACACACACACACACACACACACACACAAAGGACAUGAACUCAUCCUUCGCAAAACCUGUAGUUUCUAACACCACUCAGUUGCUCGGAGGAAACGGGAGAGAGCAUUUAGGUCAAAUGGGGGUCCAUGUACUGAUCAGCGGGGUCGCGCACCCUCUCUUUGGCUACCUCACCUCCAGUUUCCGCUCACUGCUGACAGACACGCACUCCUCGAGACCACCGGGACACCCUCCCCGCUCCAGGACAGAAUUCCAUCCAAGUGAAUUGAGGCCAUCGCACGGUCUACGAGAGACCUUGAACUGCUUACGGUAAGUCCAUAUAUCUUUAUUGAUUUGUGUUAUGAAUGCUUGAUUGUAAUAUCCUUAUUCAAUUUCUAAUAAGUACCACGGGCGCCCACCAAAGCACUCGCCAGAAUAGAGAAGCAGCCUAUGGCUUGUAGCAGCAAUAUGACCAGCCCGAGAGCAAUAAUUCCUUCUCUUCCACUUGUCUUUGUGGUGUAAUUUGUCACUAUAAAAGUGACGAGGGGAAUCGCAGCUCUUGGAGCGGUGCCUUACUCCUUUCCAAAACUACUUUCACUGAAAGCCAUCUGCUUGUAGCCGCUAUAGUUUACUGCACUCACGUUUUAAAAAUGGAUUUUUAUCAACAUUUCAGUCGUUUCAUGCCGUAUCGUGCACGGCCCCAUGCGACCACCACCUCGUGACAUUUAACCCUCGGCCCACGGCUAAACUAAGGAGACAGACGAAUCAGCAUUUUAUCAAAUUACAAAGAAGUAAAUUAUUACACCAUGUGACUACUCUGCUUUUGAAAAGAAAAGGCAGAGUUGGCUAAAAAAAAAAAACCCUCACGCGUGAAUUUUUGUCCCACUCAGUCUCCCACGCCGUCCCGCGUGUUCUCCCUCAUUUGAAUUGUCAUUGGAUUUGGUCUGAGAGGCUGAAGCCGGCAAAGGGGUUGCAGCUCUGGACGCGAGCACAGACAUUUAUUACCUACCGUUCUUCUUUCUUUGGCUGCGAAAGAGACGCGUUACCAUGCAGAGGGAUUCCCCCCGCUGCCGACCGUCCUCUUCCCUGUUCCUCGCAGCGUGUCCUCCGCUCUGCCUUUUGGUGAUGAACCUUCUUCUCAUUUUUCACACCCUGCUCCCGGUGGGGUUUUCCACAUGAUAUACUUAGAAUGCGGCUUUGAUCUGAAGUUGUUGUGCUUUUUCUUUUCUUUUGCCCCCCCCCCCCCCACCACACCUCCCAAUAAUACUGUACUGACUUCUUCAUACAAGAAGCCAUGGAGUUGGAAUGCAAAGACAUAGCGCGUCCCCUGCUCCUAAAGACUGAAGACUAUAUGCAAAAAUGCGGGUUAAUGAUCAAGCCGCGGAUAGAAGCCCUUUAUGUCGCGUGGAAAUGGAAAUGCCGCGUGGUCAGCGGCUGAUUAUUCCUUUGUAUACUCGCCUCUCUCCAACAUCUCCGUCAAAGGGACAAUAAUUCCGCCUCAUGGCGUCGGGUAAAUAAUAACACAAAUAUUGAAAACACUUUAG
ensembl:lncRNA